CCUGAAGACUACACUUUCAUUCAAAAUGUCCCAUUAGAGGAUCGAGUAAGAGGACCAAAGGGACCUGAAGAGAAGAAAGAUUGUGAGGUUGUGAUGAUGAUUGGCUUGCCAGGUGCUGGGAAAACUACUUGGGUUACUAAACAUGCAGCUGAAAAUCCUGGUAAAUACAACAUUCUUGGA